rnacentral:rRNA from 1 species
GCAACCCCAGAUUUGAAAUCCGGCCCCGGCCCGAGUUGUAAUCUGCAGAUGAGUCUUCGGGCAAGGCGUCGUCCAAGUUCCCUGGAAUGGGACGCCGGAGAGGGUGAGAGCCCCGUACCGACGGCCGCCGCGCCUGUGCGAAGCUCAUUCGAAGAGUCGAGUAGUUUGGAAAUGCUGCUCUAAUUGCGGGGUAAAUCUCCCGUAAGGCUAAAUACCGGCCAGAGACCGAUAGCGCACAAGUAGCGUGAGCGAAAGAUGAAAAGAGCCUUGAAUAGGGCGUCAAAAAGUAUGUGAAAUUGUUGUGGGGAAGCGCUUGGCGCCAGACGUGGCGGCGGUUGGUUACCCGGCGUUCUCGCCGGCGCACUCUGCCGCCGCCAGGCCAGCAUCGGUUCGGCCUGGGACCUACUGACGCGAGGAACGUGGCCCUUCGGGGUGUUACAGCCUCGCGGAGACGUCCCGCGCCGGACCGAGGAUCGCGCUUCGGCUCGGAUGCUGGCGUAAUGGCCCUCAGCGACCCGUCUUGAAACACGGACCAAGGAGUUGACCUACCCGCGAGUGUUUGGGUGUCAAGCCCUCACGCGCAGUGAAAGCGAACGCAGGUGGGAGCCUCGCGCACCAUCGACGAUCCUGAAGUUCACGACGGAUUUUAGUAGAGCGUGCUGGGUCUGACCCGAAAGAAGUGAACUAUGCAUGAAUAGGGUGAAGCCAGAGGAAACUCUGGUGGAGGCUCGCAGCGGUCUUACGGCAAUCGAUCGUCAAUUUUGCAUGGGGGCGAAAAACCAUCGAACCUCU